CACGUAGGGGUGCGAGCGUUGUCCGGAAUUAUUGGGCGUAAAGAGCUCGUAGGCGGUCUGUCGCGUCGGCUGUGAAAACUCGGGGCUCAACCCCGAGCCUGCAGUCGAUACGGGCAGACUAGAGUGCUGUAGGGGAGACUGGAAUUCCUGGUGUAGCGGUGAAAUGCGCAGAAUACUCGAGGAGACACCGGUGGCGAAGGCGGGU
rnacentral:rRNA from 1 species